UGCAUGGUGGCGCAGUUAGUAGCACUGUUUGCUUGAAGCAAGAAGGUCUUGGGUUCGACUCCCGGCCAGGGGUCUUUCUGCAU